rnacentral:pre_miRNA from 1 species
UUUGUACUCCCUCCAUCCCAAAAUUCUUAUCUUAAAUUUGUCUAAAUAUGGAUGUAUCUAGUUACAUUUUAGUGUUAGAUACAUCCCUAUCUAAACAAAUGUAAGACAAGAAUUUUGGGACGGAGGGAAUACUAC